CUCAUCCAUAGCCCCGGCCUGGGGGGUUGGGGGGGGGGUCCCCACUCGAAUAUCGCGAUAUGACGGCAACUAUCGCGAUAUGGCUGCGACUAUCGCGAUAUCCCUGCGCUCUAUCGCGGCGUGGAGGCGCCUGUGACCCGUUGGCGGUGCCCUAUCGCGACAUAAUGCCCCCUAUCGCGACAUAACGGCGCCCUAUUGUGACAUAACGGCCCCCUAUCGCGACAUAACGGCCCCCUAUCGCGACAUAAUGGCGCCCUAUCGCGACAUAACGGCCCCCUAUCACGACAUAAUGGCGCCCUGUCGCGACAUAACGCCCCCUAUCGCGACAUAACGGUGCCUUAUCGCGACAUAACCGCGCUCUAUCGCGAUAUAAUGGCGCCCUAUCGCGACAUAACGCCCCCUAUCGCGAUUCAGCCGCGCUCCGUUAGCAGCAGUCGUCGUCCGUUUCGCUGUAGGGGUCGCGGAGUCUCUGGCGGCCGACGACCCCCCCCGGGAACCCCCGCCCCCCCCGGUCCGUGACGUUCGGCAGCACGCCGGCCCGGCCGCAGGGGGGGGAUGGACCAUAGAACGGGAUUGAGGUGGGGGGGGGGGGCCGCGGUGGUCGGGGUGGGAGGGGGGAGGGUCCCGGAGAUCCGGGGCGGGGUUUCGGUAGACAACGCCGGGAGGAGGAGCCCGGGGGGGCAGAUCGAUUUAGU
rnacentral:lncRNA from 1 species